UGAGUAGUAUAUGACAACAAAUCUCAUAUGAUCACCAACGGAGCCAAUGUUUCUCCCUCUCCCCCUGCCUCUCUCGCUGUGGGACUGUGGGUGAUCACCAAUGCAAUGUCACAUUUCUGCAAAAUCCUCAAAAGGAGGCAAAAGCAAGUGUCAUUGGCCAGGUUCCUUGUUCAAGUUGCACUAAAAGGAAAAGAUUCCACUGAGCGAUAGAUAGUAGUGAUUCCAUUAGUGAUAGUGAAAGUCGUGCUACACAAUAACCCUCUUCUCUCGUCUCCCUCAUACCAGCCACGAAGGCUUUCAAAGAGUAUACAGGGAAUGGUGCAUAAACCAUGCCGGAAGAAUCUUCGGUGAAUAUUUCACAGACCACGGUUACUAGGCAUGGCAUUUUUCAGCAUGUUUUAAUUGAGCAGCAAAGAACAUACGCAGUGCUCUGUACUGAGCCAGGGAAAAAUGUUACUGGAUGAAGCAAUGCUUUCUGUUUUCUGAAUCAAGCUCCUCAUUCCCCUUGCCUAGUCACACUCAACCCAGGCAGUCACAAGCAGAAAGACAAGAUGAACAGAACACACGUGACAUGGUGCAAUGCUACCCAGACGUUAGAGCUGAGUAUCUUUCCCUGGCAGAUGGGAAGAAGUGUGGUAAAGGGCCAAGAAGACAGGCAUUGACAUCAGACAGAACCAGGUUCAAACUCCAGUACGAUCGUUCACAAGCUGGGUGACCUUAAUAGGUUAUGUGACCUCAUCUCAAACAGAGACUGGUAACGACUUUGCAAGCUGUUCUAAAGAGUACACGCAGUAAUGUGCACUUAAUACACAUUCCUCAGUCCCAUCUUCUUCCUUCGACGAUGCCCAUGACAAGAAGGAAUAUCUUUAAAGGAAAGGAGCCCUAAGUCAUCAAGAGAGGCCUUCCGAGGUGUCCAAAUAGUUGCAGAACCCAGUAACACUGACGCUCUCUCAACCUGAAGAGGCACAUCAAGCUCUAUUAGAACAUUUCAGAUCUCUUGCUUCUGUCCAGACAAACAUGCUUGUGAAUCAUUUGCUUCCAUACGAGAAGCAGCCGGCUGGUCAGAAAUCACUGGGAGCAAAGUACAGCAAAUUAAUACAAAACAGUAUCAGUCUAAAAGCACCAGGCCACUCUGUAAGGAAACCUUUCCAUUAUUCCAAGGAAAUCAUUUUGCUUGUACAUAAGCGGGAAGCAGCAUGGUCUGAGCCUUCAUCAUUCACGGCAAGAACAGCAGAUUGAAGCUCAGGGGUCCUGGCCUUGCCAUUUUAAAGGUGUUUGGGGUAUGGAGAUGAAGAAGACUCUAAUGUGUGUGGAAGAAAGAAGAGUGAGCAAACCAUCCUCUGCCUCCUCCAGCUCAAGGUUCCAUUUUGCAAACCAAGAAGGCAAGGCUCACGGUUUAGGAAUCUUUUCCAAGAUGAUGAAGCAAUGGAGGUGGGAGGGUGGCCAAGAUAAUAGGCUUCUGAAGGAUUUGUGCACCAGCACCCCGAUCUUUCUACUGCUCGAGUGAAAGAAAAAAGAAAUUGUUCGCUGAAGUUUUUCUGUUGAGAAGACUUU